rnacentral:rRNA from 1 species
UCGAGGAUCUUCGGCAAUGGGCGCAAGCCUGACCGAGCGACGCCGCGUGAGCGAUGAAGGCCUUCGGGUCGUAAAGCUCUGUCGGGGGGGAGAAAGGGGCAACCCUGAUCGACCCCCGGAGGAAGCACGGGCUAAGUUCGUGCCAGCAGCCGCGGUAAGACGAACCGUGCGAACGUUAUUCGGAAUCACUGGGCUUAAAGGGUGCGUAGGCGGGCUCCCAAGUCAGGGGUGAAAUCCCACGGCUCAACCGUGGAAGUGCCUCUGAUACUGGGGGCCUCGAGGGGUGCAGGGGCGUGCGGAACUCAGGGUGGAGCGGUGAAAUGCGUAGAUAUCCUGAGGAACACCGGUGGCGAAAGCGGCGCGCUAGACACCUUCUGACGCUGAGGCACGAAAGUCAGGGGAGCAAACGG